rnacentral:lncRNA from 1 species
GGAGUUGGGAAGGUGACAUGCAUACAAUCAACUAUAAUAAAAAUAGAAUGUAAUAAGUGCUGAAGUCCAUCGAUCCCUCCCUAUUCUCUCAAUCCAUCAUUCCUGAUCUGACCAGCUAUUUCAAUGAUAUUUUUCUCCAGCCUGAAGUUCUCAACUCUCUGGACUUUCAUCUAUCACCAGAUUCAAAUUUAUCUCUUAAUAUGCACAAGGUCCUGGAGACAAAAAGAAAUAACAGCCUUUUCACGAAGGAACCUGCAUUCUAAUGAAGGAUAUUACAUGUCACCAGUGAUAAGAUGUGAUGUGCUGGAAAGAAUGCUGAAUUUGGAAGAAGUCCUGUGUUCAAAUCUCAAGCUCUGCUAUAUAUUACUUGUGUUACUUUGGAAUGAAGACUGUGCAUUGGUUCCAGGGCAGAAGAAUAAUAAGAGUUCUUUCUCUGGAUGUGGAUCCUGUUCUUUCUCAUUAGUCCCUCAGAAUUGUCCUGGAUCAUUGCAUUGCUGUUAGUAGAAAAAUCUAUUACAUUCAAAUGUGCUACCAUAUAUCCAUCUCUGCAUACAAUGUUCUCCAGGUUCUGCUCCUUUCAAUCUGCAUCAAUUCCUGGAGGUCAGUCCAGUUCACAGGGAAUUCCUCCAGUUCAUUAUUCCUCUCAGGACAAUAGUAUUCCAUCACCAUCAGAUACUACAAUUUGUUCAGCCAUUCCCCAAUUGAUGGACCUAUCCUCAUUUUCCAAUUUUCUGCUACCACAAAGAGUGUGGCUAUAAAUAUUUUUGAACAAUUCUUUUUCCUUAUUAUCUUAUUGGGAUACAAACCCAGUAAUGAUAUGACUGGAUCAAAGGGCAAGCAUUCUUUUAAAGGAGCUUAUUUUCUAAUGGAGGAUGGACAAUAUGAAAGGGACCUGAAAGAAAAGGGGGAUGCUAGAGAUACUCAUGAGGAGUCAUAGUAGAGAAAUUCAGGAGAGUCAAAGAAGAGGGGCAGCUAAGUGGCACAGUGGAUAGAGUGCCUGGCCUGGAGUUUGGAAGACAUUGGUUCAAGUAUAACCUCAGACACUUCAUAGCUGUGUGACCCUGGACAAGUCACUUAACCCCAAUUGCUUAAGGAGAGUCAAAGAAGGACCCUAGAAAGGAAUAAAGAUGUGGCUGUCCUGGACA